UGUAAAAGAACAAAUUACCAUUAACAUGAAUUUUUUAAUUAAUUGAUUUUUUCUAGCUGUUUUCUGUAAAUUACUACUUGUCAUCUAUAUUUAACAAAACAGACAAUCUGUAAAAUAACAUUAAAUUGCUCUUAAAAUUGUCAGUGUUUACAGUGCUUAGAAACAUCUCCAGCAUGACUAACAGUGUUGAUUUAUGUCCACAAACCAUUUCAAAAUUAAUCACUGAUAGAAUAAAUAUGAUGGGUGGCCAUGUGGAGCCUCUCUUAUUAUAACUAAAAGACACAAAAGAUAAAGGCCCUGCACAGCCAAGUGAAGCCACUUCUAUUCUUUUUUUGCUAGUUAGAACUCUUCUCAAGGCUGUGUGGAUGCAUACAGACAGGGUUUCAUUGAUAUCUGCCUCACUCCCCAGUUAGUUUUGCUGCCUUUACUAUCUUUAUUUUAUUAUCCUUAUUAUCCUUAGUUCUCAAUUUCAGAACGGUGGCUCUCUUUUAACCUGUUACAUGGUAACUGAUGCUGCACCGAUAACCUGGUUCUGUUCAGAGUCUGAAAUUGAAACUGGCUGGGAGAAUUCACCAAUUAUUUCUCUAACAAUGUAUGAGCGACACCGAUUCUCAUGCAAACACAUCCUAUCUGUAAACCAGUUGAGCUGUACAUCAAUAGUGCCACUGAACAAAACAAUGCAAUUACAACAGACAAACUGUAUGUGUCACGUUGCCAUGAGAACCAACAUUCAGGUGGUGACAUGGAAAAUGCAGAGAUAUGUUUUGUAUUCUUGGUACCGACUUUACCCUGAUUACUCUAUUGGUAUUUAGUCUCAUAUAGCCAGAUGAUGCACCUCAUUAUAUUUAAACCUAUGAACAAAAAACAGGCCCUAGCUUGUUUGUAUGUCUUUAAAAUAAUAACAGUCAUAUUGUGUGUAAGUCCAGGAUGAAGCGUAAAGAGGCAAGCACUUUUAUUAACAUGGCUAGUUAGCUGACAAAGUAACAUGUUGGUAGGGGAAUGAGAGGAGAAAGUCCCAUGAAAUGCACAACCAGUGGCAGGAUUAUACCCACAGUUUACAUCCAGGGAGUCAGACUAAUUGGUAUUUUCAUCACAGAGAAUAAUCCAUCAAUAAAAUUAAUUUCAGUUUGAUUUGGCCAAAAAAAUUAAAGUGAUUUUCAUUUGUAUUAUAAAACAGUGUCAGAGCUAAAUGCACUUCCUGAGUAGCAUGUUUAAAUGUUUGACGAUUAAGAGCUUUAAUGUGCAGCUAUCACAAUAGAAAUAAGCAGCUGCAGUGAGAGCGUACAAAAUGGCAAAAUCAAUAUAACUUACACAAUUUUAUACCAGCAUUCCUUUCUUGCCUUAUUUUCAGUGAAAGUGCUUCUUAUUGGGUUUUCAUAUUCUUCAUAGCCCUCCAUUAUAACACUCUGUUCCUCUUGAUGGAGUUAAGCAGCAUGCAAUCAGUCUACUUUGUGUGGAAGCUACCAAAUGAUACAGCAAACGCCUCUGUUAUGGGAACUCACCCAGAGCCUGAUGUCACGUUAGGUACCACAAAGAAAGCAUGGCUAUAUUAAACUUGCUUCAUAGUGCAUUCUUCUGGUAAUUCCACCCACUGUAAGGACUAUAUGGCAUUUAGGCUGUAUUAUGUAAGCUAUACUACAUGCAAAGCUCAUUAAAAACAUUCUUUAAAGGGAGGAGAUUGCCCUAAACUGAUUGUUCGUUGCGUUGUCUAUGACUGACAAAGAAGGCAGUAAAAAUGGAGGGCAUCAGAGCUGCCUGAACAGAUUCAGAGGGUAGUUUGGUCUCAUUGACAUCUUGUCAACCCCAGUUUUUCCCUAAAAGAGCUUGAGCUGAGAAGAGACAGGCUUGAUUCAUCCCUGCAGCCCUAUGUGUGAUCUGCAUGUGCAGUAGGAAUCCACAAGUACUGUUUUUCUUUCACCGAAGCAGAUUGUGGAAAAAAGAAAGAAGUAAUUUAAUUUUCUUGGACGUGACAUAUUACCGAUGGCUUCUAAAACAACAUCACCACGAUGAAAAGGGGUGAUUUUCAUGGGUGGAAGGAAAAUCCAAAUGAUAAUAAAACUCAUCACACUGAGGAGCGAAAGGCAGUAAACAAAAAACAAAAAAAGGCAAAGGAAAUGAAAUGCACUCAAACCUCAGCCAUGAAACUUAAAUAGCCUGAGGCAAACAAAGUAAGUAAAGUGAGAAUGUCACAGGGAGAGAGAGAACCUUUGGAGCUGAGCAGAUGUAUUUUAAGUAAUUAUACUAUAUAUCUGUGAAAGUACACAAUCACUGUGUGUCUGUGUGUUUGUAAGAAAAAGGAGAGGUAUUUGUGUACUGCAGUUUAGCUUCAGAUGCUGUAGGUGCUAUGAGAAAUGUGUACAUUCACUCUUUCUUCGAAAGAGCACAAAGCACAAAUCUUUCUCCCGCUGCUGCCGACUUUGACAUUUGCUCGGAUUAACAAUGAGCAUGACAACAGUGAUAAAUGUCAUCCUCGUGUCCCAGUCCCAUAUCCGUAUCCAAUCUGUGUGAGUGAUCAGGAUGUUUAAUUCCUUCAGCAUCCCUGCUUCCCUCCCUUUCACUGUUCUUCAAUACUCCCAAGCGUGGUUACCCAUGGUUACUACAUACCGAACUUGAUCAACGUGGACACACACACACACACACACACACACACACACACACACACACACACACACACACAUGCACCCACCUACUCCUUAUAUACCUUCAACUGAGCGUUGAAUCACUCACGCUGAGCUGAACACAGAUUUCUUAACUUCACAGGUGACAAGAGAUUUCAGUUCUUCAGCCUGCUCAAUUAAUUAUCUGUGCCUGAACAGACCUGUUUUGAUUUUUUUCGAUAAUCAUCAGUUUCAGAGCAGGAGCAUGCGGCGAAAGUUUCUAGAAGAUAAUAUUUCAAGGUGAACUGAUAAAUACACAAUUAUGAAUUAUGUGUAUUUACCCUUCAGCGCCUGUGGUUUAGCUAAAGGUCACAGGAUAAUUACAGAGCACUGGGGUGAGAGUUGAUGAAAUAUAUUUGUCCAAAAUGUAGAGUAGGUACAAAUCUUAUUAGCAGUAAGUAGGAGUGUUCUCUCUCAGAGAUAUCACUGACAAAUAUCACUGACAGGUAUUUCUGCCGGUUAUCCUUCUUUUCUAGCUAUUUUGAAAUGGCUUGUUUACUAGAGAGAUAUGCCAAUAUCAUAUUAAGUAUCUGCUGUGGAAAUAGCAUUCCACUAUCCAUGUACUGUAUACUUUAGCAGUUUGGGCAAAAGUCUUAUUCAUUUAAAUUAAAUGCAAGGGCUGAUACCUAAGUCAUGUCUGUGUUUUAUGGACUAAGAAUUGGAAGUUACUCUAACAGACAUAUGCCACGUGAACUGUAUUUAACAAGUCGAAACAUGACAGUUUGGACAUGUUUACUCACUACAUGAGUAUGGGCUAUUAGCAAGUGAGCUAAGGGAAUAGUUAGUAAAUAUAUAUUUUAAGAGAAGAACGGAAACAGUACAAUUCAGAUAAACUUCACCAAUGUCACAACAGGUUUGAAGAAAAGUACUGUACAUAAUGUUCGAUGAAAAAAAUCUCUCUGAAUUAGUUCUGACGUAGCCAACAUUUAACUCACAAGCUGUUUCCACUUCUUCCAUUGUGUUAGUCUCCAGAUAACGUGAAACAUGGCUGAUACCAGCUGACAAGGAAGAAUUAAAAUAAAUUUGUUAUGAUUAUGUUCCUGCCCCUGUUCCUUCUUCCUCUUUCUUUCUUCCUCCUUGUUUUCUGUGUCUAUUUUGACCUGUCUGUCUUCCUCUGUCGUCUUUCUCUCCCUGUCGCUCUUGCCCCUGUGUCUCUCUCUCUCUGUCUCUCACUCACUCCCCUGCUUUCACUGCCUGAACUGCUGAUUGCUGGGAUGAAAGUCAGCUGUGACAAUGAGCUCACCCAACUCACCUGUUCUCCACCUCACCUCCAGCUAUUUAAGCUCUGUGCCUUCAUGGACUCUGCUCCCACAUGGACUCUGCUUUUGGACGCUGUUUUCCCCUCCACUGGAUUUCCCUGACUUGGACUCAGUUCUUCUUUUGGAUUCUCACUACCCUACUUUUGUCUCCAGCUAGUAGCUCUGUUCUCGUCUCCGUUCGCCCCAGAUUUCCUGAGCCUGCUUCCCUGCCCCUUCUGUUGUCAGUUCCCUUGAUUUUGUAAGUACCCCUCCUUAGCUUAGUUUUGUUAAUUCAGUUUAGUUUUGUAAUCUUCCGUUUUUGAAUUCAUAGUGUUUGUUAGUAGUAGUUUGGUUUAGUUUUGUUUCCUCUCAGUUCAGUUCUCCAUUCAUGUAUUGUUUUAGUUUUCCGGUUUAAUAAAAUUCUUCCCUUAAUUCACCUGUCCGCCAGUGUCUCUCUGUCUGCGCCUGGGUUCUCCAGCUCCCCCUGUAACAGUAUGAUAUGGCCACAAAAGAACCCAGCAGACAGAAACCUGCUUUGAGGCGGAGCCAGACCCAUCACCUGAGGUGUUUUUUAAGGAUGAUGAAUCUUAUGAAUUUUUUGAAUCACAAGUUUGUCUAUAUGCAGAAUGGGAACGAACUCAGAACCAGCCAUACAAAGAUGCAGCUAUCUCCAGAGGCCGCAGACUGGCCACACAGACUCCCUGGCUCACUGGCCAUCUGCCAGAUUACAUUUUGGAUUAUUUGAAUGCACCUCUGUCUUGUCAAUCACACCCACCUGCUAGCCACCCACCUGCUAGUCCACCUGCUAGCCACCCACCUGCUAGUCCACCUGCUAGUCCACCUGCUAGCGACCAGCCCACAAGUUCGAGUAAUCAUGGACCACCACCUGAUUACCCCUCAUAUCCUGUUUCCCCUGGCCCCAUGGCCGAUGAUUGCAGCAAGUCUCCUUUCUGGGGAACCCGACUCACCUUUAAGCCCAGCUCUGGUGGAAAGUGGUGUCCCCGACACAGGGAUUCCCAAUCACCCCCCAUCUCCACUUCCUCUAGCGCCCUGUGUUCCUUCCUGCUCGAUAGAGCCAUUGGACUGGACAAUUUCGACUCCAGCCAGAUCAGUUCCCCACCUGAAUCUGGACCUCAGCACUCCAAGCCACCCUCCAGAAAGUGUUCCAGAAGGAAGCGAGGUUCCAGGAAACCCCAGACCUCGCCGCUCCCCAGCAGCCGCCGUGGUCCCGCUGCCGAGCCCCGCCGUGGUCCCACUGCCGAGCCCCGCCGUGGUCCCACUGCCGGGUCCCGCCGCCUCACCCGUCUCCGAGGGGGUCAACGAUGCCGCCUCAGUCGUCUCCGAGGGGUCAACGACACCGCCUCACCCAUCUCUGAGCGGGUCGACGCUGUUGACGCCGCCUCAGUUCCCGAGCGGGUCGACACUGUUGACACCGCCUCAUCUGCCUCGGACCUGCCUGGGUCAGCUGACCAAUCCCCUGGGUCAGCUGACCAAUCCCCUGGCCGAGAGUCUGUAGAGCCCACGUCAGCUGACCAAACCAGCAGCAGAAAAAUCGAACUGGAUUUUGCUGACAAAUCACCUGGCUUUGAGACUGUUCCGUCAGCAGACAGUUUCCCCUGCCAAGAGACUGUUGAGCCUGUGUCAGCUGACGAACCUCCCGGCCGAGUGACUGUUGAGCCUGUGUCAGCUGACGAACCUCCCGGCCGAGUGACUGUUGAGCCUGUUUCAACUGAGGAAUUCUCCGGCCCAGGGAGUGUUCUGCCUGAGUCAGUUGACCAACCCCAUGGCCAAGAGACCAUUCUCCCCAAGUCUGCUGAUCUAUUCCCAAGCCCGGAGAGUGAGCCUGUGACAGCUGACAAACCCCCUGCUCCUGAGUCUCCGUCCGCAGUGGCCACCCCUGCUCCUGAGUCUCCGUCCGCAGUGGCCACCCCUGCUCCUGAGCCUCCGUCCGCAGUGGCCACCCCUGCUCCUGAGUCUCCAGAGGGAUCCCGCCUUCAUCGGUCCCCAGCCCGGCCUCCAGAGGGGUCCCGCCUCCAGAGGGUCCCAGGGUCCCCGUGUCGUCCGCCGCCGCCGGCCUCCAGAGGGUCCCCGUGUCGUCUGCCGUCGCUGGCCUCCAGAGGGGUUCCGUCUCCUUCGUUGCCAGCCUCCAGAGUGGUUCCGUCUCCAUGAACCUACUCCCCAGCUCUUGGAGGAGAUGCAGCCUCUGUGUCGUCCUCCGGAACGGCCUGGUCUGCCUGUCCGGCCAGCUUGGCAUGUCUGCCAGACGAGUGUUUCUACCUUUCAGUUAUGAAUUAAACAAAUUUACAAAUAGCCGAUUAGUGAUGUAUAGAGGUGUAUUUUUAAAUUCUGGAAAGCAUAAAUUUAUUUACUAGGUUAAGCUAGCUAGCUGUUGGCCGUAACAGUUUUUUGUCUUGCCACUAAGCAGCCACCAUUCAGAUGAAAAAUAGUCGAUGUGAUAAAGUGCCAAAAACUGCAGUUCCUCGAAUGGUCCAACUGAGUCAAUCCCCAGAGGCCUCCAUGUUAAGAUACCCAACUUCACAGCAGAAAUAAACAUGUUUACAGUUGGUGACAAAAACAGUUUUGGUCUACAUUUGCAUGGCCCACGACAUCUUCACUCUCACUGUCUGCCUUUACAAUCAUUAAUCAGAAUUUAGGAGUCAAACAUAAAAACUAGUGCUGUCAAACGAUUAAAUUUUUUAAUCAUAUUAAUCACAUGGUUGCUCUGGAUUAAUUUCGAUUCAUCGCAAUUAAAUAUCAUUCAUUUUCAGUCUAUAUUAAUCGUGUUCAUUUUGCGUGAGGAAACAGAUUCAAGAAAGAAGGGAAUAUAUAUGCACUUAACAUGCUUAUUAAACACCUGUGCUUCGGUGAAAAGAAACCUCCUUCCUGCAGAGUGUUCAUAUUACUGAAAGUUGGUGGACUGUUCCGUCUUUGGGGUUGUUUUGUAUUCAAAAAGAGGGCCAACGUGCUGUUUAGCGCAAGGGUAUUCAACUAAAAUUCAAAGAGUUCCAGUCAGAGAAAAUGUAUUAAAGCAAAGGUUCAGAAAAUCAUAAUGUCUAAUUUGAAUUAUUGUGAUAUAUGUUGAUGUAACCUAGUAGUUAAAUUAGUGUCUGCAUGUAAUCAAUAACUGGUUGUCAAAUCAAAUAAAUUCAGUACGGUUCAAAAACAUUUUGACAACAUUUAUUAAUAAAUAACUUUUGAUAUAACUGUACAUCUGGGGGAAAAAAAAGUGAAAAAUAAUGACUGAACAACCUGAACCAACUUAUAUACAUAUUUAACAAAACCUAAAUCUCAAAAAAUUUAGACAGUUGAACACUUUUACUUUUUUUUUCUGUCUUAUAUCUCUCCCCUUAUACCCCUGCUGCUUAAUGGGAGGACUGAGCUGCCAGUAUUCUGAAUCAUGGUCUGAAUGGUGUCAGGGUCGUUCUCAAACACAUUUGGAGCUCACUGAUUUACAGAGUUUCUGGAGCCUUUCGAGAGAGUGAUUCAACCAGAGGAGCUUUGGCUUUACAAGAAUCCUCUUGUUGAGUCAGACCACAUUCCCAAGAGGGUCAUGUUCGUAA